CUACGGGUUGCUCCAGUGAAGAAUAUUGCACAAUGGGGGGAACCCUGAUGCAGCAACGCCGCGUGGAGGAUGACGCAUUUCGGUGUGUAAACUCCUUUUAUAUGUCAAGAAAAUGACGGUAGCAUAUGAAUAAGCACCGGCUAACUCCGUGCCAGCAGCCGCGGUAAUACGGAGGGUGCAAGCGUUACUCGGAAUCACUGGGCGUAAAGGACGCGUAGGCGGGUUGGAAAGUCAGGUGUGAAAUCCUACAGCUUAACUGUAGAACUGCACUUGAAACUUCUAAUCUAGAGUAUGGGAGGGGGAGAUGGAAUUAGUGGUGUAGGGGUAAUAUCCGUAGAUAUCACUAGGAAUACCUAAAGCGAAGGCGAUCUCCUGGAACAUUACUGACGCUAAGGCGUGAAAGCGUGGGGAGCAAACAGGAUUAGAUACCCCGGUAGUC
rnacentral:rRNA from 1 species